rnacentral:rRNA from 2 species
UUGAUUGGUGCUUGCAUCAUGAUUUACAUUUGAGUGAGUGGCGAACUGGUGAGUAACACGUGGGAAACCUGCCCAGAAGCGGGGGAUAACACCUGGAAACAGAUGCUAAUACCGCAUAACAACUUGGACCGCAUGGUCCGAGUUUGAAAGAUGGCUUCGGCUAUCACUUUUGGAUGGUCCCGCGGCGUAUUAGCUAGAUGGUGGGGUAACGGCUCACCAUGGCAAUGAUACGUAGCCGACCUGAGAGGGUAAUCGGCCACAUUGGGACUGAGACACGGCCCAAACUCCUACGGGAGGCAGCAGUAGGGAAUCUUCCACAAUGGACGAAAGUCUGAUGGAGCAACGCCGCGUGAGUGAAGAAGGGUUUCGGCUCGUAAAACUCUGUUGUUAAAGAAGAACAUAUCUGAGAGUAACUGUUCAGGUAUUGACGGUAUUUAACCAGAAAGCCACGGCUAACUACGUGCCAGCAGCCGCGGUAAUACGUAGGUGGCAAGCGUUGUCCGGAUUUAUUGGGCGUAAAGCGAGCGCAGGCGGUUUUUUAAGUCUGAUGUGAAAGCCUUC